UGCCCGGUGGUGUAAUGGUAGCACCCGAGAAUUUGGAUCUCGUUGUCCAGGUUCGAAUCCUGGCUGGGCAACCA
rnacentral:tRNA from 1 species